GCAGGCAUAGUUUUAAUACAAACAUUAGACUGUGACCCUAAAGAUAGAAGUUAAAUUCUUCUUGCCCGCC
rnacentral:tRNA from 1 species